AAGUCGUAACAAGGUUUCCGUAGGUGAACCUGCGGAAGGAUCAUUAAUACGUUCCACGUAUCAACCGAGUCGUGAACAUGUUAGACGCCUUGUCGUUGAGAGUAUUUGCGGUUCAGCGGUCUCUAGGUUUCGACUUGGAGAGAAAUGAUGAUGUAGCGCUGACCGGUCCUAGUUUUGAAACUUGUGUUCAAGGCUAGCUCAACCAAGUGCGGUUUGAACCCUCUGCAUCAUCUUAUUUACCAAUAUUAACCCCAUGUACACAAUUCUGAACUGAAUAAAUUCUUCUGACUCGCAAGAGAAAGAAGUCUCAAAACGAAACUGAAAACAACUCUUAACAACGGAUAUCUUGGUUCUC
rnacentral:misc_RNA from 1 species